CCUACGGGAGGCAGCAGUGAGGAAUAUUGGUCAAUGGACGAGAGUCUGAACCAGCCAAGUAGCGUGAAGGAUGACUGCCCUAUGGGUUGUAAACUUCUUUUAUAUGGGAAUAAAAUGUUCCACGUGUGGGAUUUUGUAUGUACCAUAUGAAUAAGGAUCGGCUAACUCCGUUCCAGCAGCCGCGGUAAUACGGAGGAUCCGAGCGUUAUCCGGAUUUAUUGGGUUUAAAGGGAGCGUAGGUGGAUUGUUAAGUCAGUUGUGAAAGUUUGCGGCUCAACCGUAAAAUUGCAGUUGAAACUGGCAGUCUUGAGUACAGUAGAGGUGGGCGGAAUUCGUGGUGUAGCGGUGAAAUGCUUAGAGAUCACGAAGAACUCCGAUUGCGAAGGCAGUUCACUGGACUGCAACUGACACUGAGGCUCGAAAGUGUGGGUAUCAAACAGGAUUAGAUACCCCAGUAGUC
rnacentral:rRNA from 1 species